rnacentral:tRNA from 1 species
GGAGGGGUGGCAGAGCGGUUGAAUGCGGCGGCCUUGAAAGCCGUUGGAGGCCUUUUCGGUCUCUCGUGGGUUCGAAUCCCACCCCCUCCG